UUGGAGGGCAAGUCUGGUGCCAGCAGCCGCGGUAAUUCCAGCUCCAAUAGCGUAUAUUAAAGUUGUUGCAGUUAAAAAGCUCGUAGUUGAAUCUCGGGAUUGACGUAAUGGUCGUGCCUUAAGGGGUAUGAACUGUUACUGUUGAUUUCUCACCUUCUGGAGAAACUUGAUGUCCUUAAUUGGGUGUCUUGCGGAUCCAGGACCUUUACCUUGAAAAAAUUAGAGUGUUUAAAGCAGGCAUUUUUGCUCGAAUACAUUAGCAUGGAAUAAUAGAAUAGGACGGCAUGGUUCUAUUUUGUUGGUUUCUAGGAUCACCGUAAUGAUUAAUAGGGAUAGUUGGGGGCAUUAGUAUUCAAUUGUCAGAGGUGAAAUUCUUGGAUUUAUUGAAGACUAACUACUGCAAAAGCAUUUGCCAAGGAUGUUUUCAUUAAUCAAGAACGAAAGUUAGGGGACCGAAGACGAUCAGAUACCGUCGUAGUCUUAACCAUAACUAUGCCGACUAGGAAUCAGACGAUGUUAAUUUUUUAAUGACUCGUUUGGCACCUUACGGGAAACCAAAGUGUUUGGGUUC
rnacentral:rRNA from 1 species